UACGGAGGGAGCAAGCGUUGUUCGGAUUUACUGGGCGUAAAGGGCGCGUAGGCGGCCACGACAAGUCACUUGUGAAAUCUCCGGGCUUAACUCGGAACGGUCAAGUGAUACUGUCGGGCUAGAGUACAGAAGGGGCAACUGGAAUUCUCGGUGUAGCGGUGAAAUGCGUAGAUAUCGAGAGGAACACCUGCGGCGAAGGCGGGUUGCUGGGCUGAUACUGACGCUGAUGCGCGAAAGCCAGGGGAGCGAACGGG
rnacentral:rRNA from 1 species